rnacentral:rRNA from 1 species
AUACGUAGGGUGCGAGCGUUAAUCGGAAUUACUGGGCGUAAAGCGUGCGCAGGCGGUUUUGUAAGACAGAGGUGAAAUCCCCGGGCUCAACCUGGGAACUGCCUUUUUGACUGCAAGGCUGGAGUGCGGCAGGGGGGGAUGGAAUUCCGCGUGUAGCAGUGAAAUGCGUAGAUAUGCGGAGGAACACCGAGGGCGAAGGCAAUCCCCUGGGCCUGCACUGACGCUCAUGCACGAAAGCGUGGGGAGCAAACAGGAUUAGAUACCCUGGUAGUCCACGCCCUAAACGAUGUCAACUGGUUGUUGGGGAUUAAUUUUCUCAGUAACGAAGCUAACGCGUGAAGUUGACCGCCUGGGGAGUACGGCCGCAAGAUUGA